UACGUAGGGUGCGAGCGUUGUCCGGAAUUAUUGGGCGUAAAGGGCUCGUAGGAGGUUUGUCGCGUCGGGAGUGAAAACCUCGGGCUUAACUCGGGGCUUGCUUUCGAUACGGGCAGACUGGAGGUAUGCAGGGGAGAACGGAAUUCCUGGUGUAGCGGUGAAAUGCGCAGAUAUCAGGAGGAACACCGGUGGCGAAGGCGGUUCUCUGGGCAUGACCUGACGCUGAGGAGCGAAAGUGUGGGGAGCGAACAGG
rnacentral:rRNA from 1 species